rnacentral:rRNA from 1 species
GGUGUAGCGGUGAAAUGCGUAGAGAUCUGGAGGAAUACCGGUGGCGAAGGCGGCCCCCUGGACGAAGACUGACGCUCAGGUGCGAAAGCGUGGGGAGCAAACAGGAUUAGAUACCCUGGUAGUCCACGCCGUAAACGAUGUCGACUUGGAGGUUGUGCCCUUGAGGCGUGGCUUCCGGAGCUAACGCGUUAAGUCGACCGCCUGGGGAGUACGGCCGCAAGGUUAAAACUCAAAUGAAUUGACGGGGGCCCGCACAAGCGGUGGAGCAUGUGGUUUAAUUCGAUGCAACGCGAAGAACCUUACCUGGUCUUGACAUCCACAGAACUUUCCAGAGAUGGAUUGGUGCCUUCGGGAAC